GUCCACGCCCUAAACGAUGAUCACUAGUUGUUCGGAAAGGUGACUUUCUGAGUAACGUAGCUAACGCGUGAAGUGAUCCGCCUGGGGAGUACGGUCGCAAGAUUAAAACUCAAAGGAAUUGACGGGGACCCGCACAAGCGGUGGAUGAUGUGGAUUAAUUCGAUGCAACGCGAAAAACCUUACCUACCCUUGACAUGCUUGGAAGAUCGCAGAGAUGUGAUUGUGCCUUCGGGAACCAAGACACAGGUGCUGCAUGGCUGUCGU
rnacentral:rRNA from 1 species